UGAUGGUUGGACUAGAUGAUCUUAGAAGUCUUGAAGAUGAUCUUGAGGUAUCUUGAAUGGUUCCUUCUCUAUCCCAUGGAGUGACAUGGGGCUUCUAGUGAAAGUGCGUGGGGAUCUUGAUAAAACUUACCUCUUUAGCCUGGAAGGAACUGAUGAGUAGAACACUAAAAAGAUGAAAAUAAAACUCUACUGCAAGGUGCCAAAAUGACAUCUUUAUUACUAUUCUGUUUUGUUUGCUAAAAAUAUAAUUAUUUCCUAACCAACCCUUUGGUUUCCAACCCAAUCCUAAUGAUUCUAGGUUAUUUGUCAGUUCAAGCACAUCUAAAACCUCUUGUAUUUUACCAAAUAUAAGGAAAGUUUGGAUUUACCAACAUCAUUAUGAACUGUCAAACAUACGACAGCAGCACAGUCAUGGGAGUGACAGGAGAUUUCUGCCACAGACUGUCAGAUUCUCAGGCACUUUUUGAGGGAAAAAAAGGCUUAACACUGACAUUGCUUAGCUCUUGUAGGCAAGUGCUCUCAAGGAGCAGAAAGAUUUAACAGAGCUUCACUCAGGUAUACUCAUUGAAACAAGAGCCAAAGUACUGAAGCAAAUCCCUAGCUGGAACUUCUACAUCCCACCAAACAAGUCCUCUUAUAUACUGCAGAAUCUGAACUGCAAAUGAAAGCAAAACAGUCAUAUAAGGCAGCAAGUUCUGAAUGCCCCAUUUUCACAGAUACGAGAAAUAAGGGACUUGCCUGUGAUAAAAGGUGAAUCUAUGAUUCAUAACAUUAAAUACACCUAGUAAAGUCUCCUAAUGAUUCACACUAACGUAUAACCUGCUUAACACUGUGACACGAACAAAGCACAUGACUGAUAAUAUGAAUUAUACCUAAAAUAAAAAAAAAGUUUAGUAAAAUACUGAAAAGCAAUUUAUCCACUAAUUUAUAUAUGGACAAAAAUAGUCAUGCAUUUCUGUAAUCAUUACUUGCCCAUGUUUGCCUCUGGUCGUUUGCCUACUCUAUAUGCUAACCUGUAAUUGAGUUGAGAUCAAGCCCAUUCUGGAAUCAGGGAGAAUUAAAACUAUGGAACGUGACAAGGACUAAAGAGACAAACAAAACUUACUUGUAAGAGAAAGCAUGCCAUUCUUAACAACGAGGAAUGUGAUCUUAUAUUAUUAUCACUCUGUGUAGAUACUUCAGUUAUCCGCAAUACAGUGAUAAGGUGAUACUCACUCAGAUCUUCUCAGAAACUAUGGAUCAGCAGCUUGUGGAAAGGAUUUACAGCUCACAGAAGAUAUUCCUAGCUGCUUGCUGGUGAAAUCACUUGAGCCAACCACAUGGAAGAUGAAGUUCAGAACAAGAUUGCCAGUACUGAAAGACAAGACUUCUCGUGUCAGUCCAUCCCCUAAGGUUUUCAACAAGG
ensembl:lncRNA